rnacentral:lncRNA from 1 species
CCUAUCUUCUCUUGUUAUCCUCUGGCGUCUUCUCCUGCUGCCUCCUCUAGCUUCCUGUUUUUCAGCUAUGCCAAGUCUCUCUCCGCUCCUCCAGGCUCGCUCCUAUGGCAGGGUCUUCGCACCCGCUGUUUCCUCCUCCAUGCCUUGCCCCUUCCCCCAGUUACAGAAGGGACCGUGAAGUCCCCUUGGCUUCCCCAUCAACAGCCCUGAUUGAUGCUUAAAUAAGAACAGAUUCUUCUCUGCCCCCAAAUAAAGAGUGACUCUCUCCCUACCCAGAGUCUCUGAACCCACCAUCUGUGGACUUGGCUAAACCUGUGCCAAGGAUCAUGGCAGGCUGACAGCAGGUCGUCUCUGGAGAGGAACCUGGGAAGUAUCAACAUCUCCAGAGGAGCAGGGCUCUCGGAGGGGGAAAGGGCCUCACGUGGAGGUGGCAGAAACACUUGCGGCCUUAGGAUCCAACCCAGGACACCCACCUUUGGCUGUGGAAAUUAAAACUUACCUUCGCAUUAAAACCUGUACACAAAUGUUGAAAGCACUUCUACGCAUAAUUGCCAAAAGCUGAAAACAAUGCAAAUUUCCUUCAGUGGGUAAAUGCAUAAACCAACUGUGGUUUAGCCAUACAAUGGAAUAGUACUCAACAAAAUCAAGGGAUGGACUAUUGACACACACAGCAACUUGGAUGAACUUCAAAGGCAUCAUGCUGAGUGAAAGAAGCCAGCCUUCUUCUAACUGUCCAUCUUUCUUUGGAUGUGCCCCUUUGGUGCCAUGAACUCCCAGAUGAGAACCUCCUAGUCUUAAGCCACCUUGCUGGAGAGACUACCUGUAGAGGCUACUUACAGAGAGAUACCGACUUAGAGAGGCCACUUAGAGAGAGGCUUCCCAGCUGUUCCAGUUCCCAUGUGGUCCAGGGUUCCCAGCUCAAGGCUGGCCACGGGAGUGAGCCAGCCUUCAGAUGAUUCCAGCCUCCAAUGUCUCUCUGCAACUGCAUGAGAUACCCUGCGUGAGGACCACCUGGCGGAGUCUCAUCAACCCUUGGUACUGAUAAUAAAAUGAUCACUGACGUUUUAAGGCCUAGGGUGGUGUGUUAUACAUCAUAGAUAACUAGAAAAUUACUAUUAUUUUUAAAAUUAUUGUAAGAGAGAUGGGUGCUAAGCAGCCACAAAUUAAUUUGAACUAGUGUAUCAGUUAUUUACUACAAUAUGUCACAUAACAAACACACACAAAACCCAGUGGGUUAAACUUGAAAACGUUUAUUUAGCUUGUGGGUCUGCUGUUUGGAUGGGUGGUUCUUCUGGGUUGGGCUGGGCUGGACUCACUCAGGUGUCUGUGGUCAGCAUUCAAGUCACGUGAGCGUCCGUUUCAUGGAUCUUGGCUGUGUUCCUCACCUUUUGGAGGUUGGCUGGCUAUUGGCCCACUUAGGACGACUUCUCCUCUGCUUCUUGGGGGCAGUGGGCUAGCCUAGGCUGGUUCACUGCUGGUGGCAUUGGCAGGGUCUGAGAACAGAUGCAUGUCAAGCUUUGUGAGGCCUAGGCUGGGAGUUGGCACCCUCAUUUCUGCCGCAGUCUAUUGGCCAAAGCCAGUUACAAAUUUAGCCCAGGUUUACAGCGUUGAAGUCCUAACCCCCUAGUACCUCAGAAUGUGACUGUCUUUGGGGAAAGUCUCUUUAAAGAGGUGAUUAAUGUAAAAUGAGGUCAUUAGGGUGGACCCUAAUCCAAUCCGACUGGUGUCCUUAGAAGAAGAGGAAAUUAGGACACAGACUGGUACAGAAGGAAGAACACGUGAAGACACAGGGAAAAGACAGCCAUCUACGAUCCAAAGACAGAGGCCUCAGAAAAAAACUCAUCCCACCAACGCCUUGAUCUUCCGGCCUCCAAGAACUGCUAGACUCCAGGACUUCCAGCCUCCAGAACUGCAAGAAAAGAACUCAGCCUGUGGAACUUUGUUAUGGCAGCCUGAGAAAAUUAACACCCAUUCGGAUGAGGGAACAGACUCUACCUCUUUAUGUAAAAAAACUGCAGUCCCAUUGUGAACCAUAUGUGUUCAAGGAGGUGUAAAACAUUGGGGCGAUUUUUUUUUGCCAUCAAUUUGCCCUGCCUAUAGAGGCUGGUGUGGGGAGGAGCUAACUCAUGGGGCAGGGAUAGGAAUGGGUUGGAAAUCAAGAAGCUUGGCUGGACUCCUAACUCUGCCUUCUCUGGGCCUCAGUUUCCUCAUCUGUGCCAUAAGAGUUCUCGACCAGGUCUUGCUGUGUUUCCUCCCAGCUCUGAGAGCCUAGGAUCAAACCCCAAGCCAAGCUCUUCCCCACCUCUCCGACAACGUCUAAUUCCAGAGUGAGUCAGGAGAAGCGCUUCCCUGCUUGGCCCUGGACACAUCCUAGGACUUCAGCCCGCAGCCUCACCAAUAACUGCUACCCAUUUGAGGACAGAGGCCCCCUGCUAGGUCAGGUUUAUCUAACAGUGCCUGGCAGAGACAGAACAGCUCUGCACAAAAGCUCUGCUAAAGAGAAAAGGCAGCAACUGUAUCCUUCGUGUAGUCUCACGGACGACCCCUCGAGAGGGCCAGUUAAUGAGCAUGGAUUUGGGGGAGUUUUGCCUGAGACCUGUAGAGAAUUGGCUGACAGUAAAGAUAAAAAGGGAAAACGUAGAUAGGUAAAAAUUAAUGAAAUCCCAGCAAAAAAAAAAGCUAUGAAAGGGGGAGGAAACUGCUAUGACGGGGGGCUACCUGGUAAAUCUGGAAGCACAUUAACCAGGUGGCCUGAAUCGGCCAGGCCGCAGGCUGUGAGGACUCCCUCCACCAACAUGGCGGGACCUAUGAUCCUGUGAUACUGUUGAUGCAGGAGACAAAGGGGCCACAACUUUUCGAAAGAGGUAUGAAUCAAUGUCACAGCUACCUGGAAAUAAAUAAGUAAGAUAUCCUCCCAUAAUAAUAAUAAUAAUAAUAAUAAUAAUAAUAAUAAUAAUAAUGGGAAGCUUUAUUUAUUUAUAAUUAUUUAUUUAAUAAAUAAAUUGGGGAUUUAUUGAAUAAUCAUUAGGAUUUAUUUAUACAUUUAUAGAAUUCUUUAUAAUAUAUAUUUAUAAUUAUAACAUUUUGAUAAUUAUGUAAAUUA